rnacentral:rRNA from 1 species
CCUACGGGUGGCAGCAGUGAGGAAUAUUGGUCAAUGGGCGCGAGCCUGAACCAGCCAUGUCGCGUGCAGGAUGACUGCCCUACGGGUUGUAAACUUCUUUUAUAAAGGAAUAAAGUGAGGCACGUGUGCCUUUUUGUAUGUACUUUAUGAAUAAGGAUCGGCUAACUCCGUGCCAGCAGCCGCGGUAAUACGGAGGAUCCGAGCGUUAUCCGGAUUUAUUGGGUUUAAAGGGAGCGUAGAUGGGUUGAUAAGUCAGUUGUGAAAGUCUGCGGCUCAACAGUAAAAUUGCCACUGAUACUGGCAGCCUAGAGGACAGUUGAGGUAGGCGGAAUGCGUGGUGUAGCGGUGAAAUGCUUAGAUAUCACGAAGAACACCGAUUGCGAAGGCAGCCUACUAAGCUGCCACUGACAUUGAUGCUCGAAAGUGUGGGUAUCAAACAGGAUUAGAGACCCGAGUAGUC